rnacentral:rRNA from 1 species
GUACGGGGGGGGGCAAGCGGUUGUUCGGAAUUACUGGGCGUAAAGGGCUCGUAGGCGGCCAACUAAGUCAGACGUGAAAUCCCUCGGCUUAACCGGGGAACUGCGUCUGAUACUGGAUGGCUUGAGUUUGGGAGAGGGAUGCGGAAUUCCAGGUGUAGCGGUGAAAUGCGCAGAUAUCAGGAGGAACACCGGUGGCGAAGGCGGUUCUCUGGGAAUGUCCUGACGCUGAGGAGCGAAAGUGUGGGGAGCGAACAGG